rnacentral:rRNA from 1 species
UACAGAGGUCCCAAGCGUUGUUCGGAUUCACUGGGCGUAAAGGGUGCGUAGGUGGCCAGGUAAGUUUGGUGUGAAAUCUCCGGGCUUAACCCGGAAAUGGCAUUGGAUACUAUCCGGCUCGAGGAAUGGAGGGGAGACUGGAAUACUUGGUGUAGCAGUGAAAUGCGUAGAUAUCAAGUGGAACACCAGUGGCGAAGGCGAGUCUCUGGACAUUUCCUGACGCUGAGGCACGAAAGCCAGGGGAGCAAACGGG